rfam:Solanum lycopersicum cultivar Heinz 1706 chromosome 6, whole genome shotgun sequence.
UAACACCUUGUGGGGCGGUACACAAGCAUUCAUAGCGACGUUGCUUUUUGAUUCUUAGAUGUCGGCUUUUCAUAUCAUUGUGAAGCAGAAUUCACCAAGUGGUGGAUUGUUCACCCACCAAUAGGUAAAGUGAGCUGGGUUUAGACCGUCAUGAGACAAGUU